rnacentral:misc_RNA from 1 species
GCGGAAAAAAGUAACGAGGGCUCGCUUCACCAAAGCGAAAAGCAUAAAGCGAAGCACCCACUUUUAUCAAAUAAAAGUGUUGUUUAGUAUAAAAAUAAGAAAAUAUUAAGUAUGCAUAGAUAAACAACCAAGAACUCAGUAAGUUGAAAAAAGAAAACCCUAGCAGUAGGCCUGCAGCACAGAAAAGAAGAAGAGAUGAAAAACUCACCUUGCAAGUCGUUGA